rnacentral:lncRNA from 1 species
AUUCCUUUCCGCUGAACUGGGCGCCCGGGCCCGCGCCGCGCCCUGCACGCCUCGCGCCCGGCGAUCGGGCCCAGGGCGGGGGAGCAGGGAGGCGGCCCCAGCCGGUCGCCGGCGCCCCCAGGCGCUGCUUCCCAGGAGCUCGGCUCCCCGGGAUGGAAGGGACUGAUACCCAGUUAAUGGGCGUGGAGCCUGAGCCCCUGAGGGUCGUCGCUAACGGGGGUCGCUCAGCAGGGCCGGCCUCCGCUGCCUGCCCGGGGUGUCUAAUCACCUCUCCGAUCCUUUGCCCGGAUCUGAGCUUCGUCAUUCACGCCCCUCCUCCCUGGCGACUUUGGGCCUGGUGACAGUCCCCCGACCCUCGCAGAGCCAGGGGCACAGUAGGCGCCUUAGCCACUGGCAGAAUUUCACCGGCGCUCUGCCCGACGCCCCCAGCCCCAGGGCCGGGCGUGGGUGGAAGUGUCUGGAAGGGUGGGUUCACCAGGGCUGGGCACGUCAGCGGCCCCGUACAGAGAAUCCGGUGCCUGGGGUCUCUGGAGGGGGUACUCAGAGUAUCCGAGGAGGAGACUCCUGGAUGCUAACAGAGCCCCCAGUUAGGAGCAGUCCGCGAGACAGUUGGUAACAGUGCUGGCCUUGCCCGGGCGCCGGAAGGUUCCGUGAGGCCCAGCAAGUCCUGACUUGGCACAGGGCCCAGCACACGGUAAGCGCUCGGUACUUGGUCACUGUUGCUUGAUUUUACCAUUUCGGAGGGGCUCAUCUACGCCUAGCAAAGCCCCCCUCCCGGUGACCCAAGGGGAGCUCCAGAAUGUUGAGCGGCUGAGCGGCCUGGCUCCUCCUCUCGACCCCAUCGAGCCAAGUGUCGAAAUCAUCCCAGACGAAGCUGCUGAGCAGAAAUUUCCAGUCUCCCUGGCAAAGCUGGGAAGAUUUUGGGUGCGGCUCAGAGACGCAGCUGGGUCGGCUCUGUGGGGCCAGGGCUGGGGAGGGACCCCAAGAUGUUCUAUGAGACCCAAGCAGCACCCCCAACUUGGGUUGGGGGCGUUGGGGGGUGGAGCCUGGCCUCCUGCUGAGCCCCAGAGCUGAUACAGCACAGGUAAAAGCCCAUUGUUCUCAGUGGUCCACAGAGGCUCAGGGCAGGAGCAAGAUCAGGGUUCGGGUGCUGGCGCCACCCCUCGUUUAGCCCCUACCUGGGAUCUGAGGGAGCACCCAUCCUUGGAAUGCAGGAUAAUAGGGUUGCUGUGAGGAUGGAAGGAGACUGUGCCCAUGAACACUUGACACAGCUCCCUGCCCUGGGGAAAGCACCCAGGAAAUGCGGGCUGUUUGUCUUAGUGAUGUUCCACUUAAUAGCACUUGCGGUGGCUCCCUGGCCCCCGAGGAGCCCACCUUGCCAGUUCUUGGCCACAAGAGUACGAGCCCCUCUGUCAGGACGGUGGGUCUCAUUGAGGCCAUCCUUAUCCUGAGCAACCUAAAGAACUCACAUGGAACUUAGCAAACAGGCAGACCCUUGCCUUGUUCUCAGGGCUGUGUGAUCCCGGGUGAGCAACUCGGCCUCUCUGAACCUGGUUCUCCUCUGCAAAACAGAGAUGAUGGCCUGGGACCCUCUCCCACUACAGGGAAGUAGCAUUGGAGGGGGAAGAGACAGGGGGAGCGUCCCAGCACUGCCCAAAAUUGGACAGGUGACUUUGGACAAGUCUGAAUGAGACUGAAUAAGACAAAACGGAGUAACAUUAGAGCUUGCUGGCUACUCUCUGCCCUGGGCCGGUGCUAGAUGUUUUACAUGCACUGUUAAUCACUGUUACUCGUGGAGGGAGAUUUUAUUAUUAACUUUCUUUUCCAGAUGAGGUAACUGAGGCUCAGAGAGGUUGAUUCACUUUCUCAAGGACACACAGCUAGGAAAUGAUAGAGUCACGAUUCAAACCAUCAUUUGUUGGCUUAGAGCCUGAAUCCCUAAAGAAAAAGCAGGCAGGGUGUAGUGGCUCACGCCUGUAAUCCCAGCAGUUUGGUAGGCUGAGGCUGGAGGCUCACUUGAGCCCAGGAGUUUGAGACCAGCCUGGACAACGUGGCGAAACCUCAUCUCUACAAAAAUACAAAAAUUAGCCCGGCCUGAUGGAGCGCGCCUGUAGUCCCAGCUACUCAGGAGGCUGAGGUGGGAGGAUCACCUGAGCCUGGGGAGGUCAAGGCUGCAGUGAACCGUGAUCGCGCCCCUGCACUCCAUACAGCCUGGACAGCAGGAUGAGACUCCGCCAAAAAAAAAAAAAAAAAAAAAAAAAGAGAGAGAGAGAGAGGAAGAAAAAAGGAAAGAAAGAAAGAAGGAAAAAGAGAAAAAGCAACUUUAAUUUUUUUAAUAUAACAUUUUAAAGUCCCUACUGUGUGCAGGGCAUCAAGGUAGGUGGCAACAAAAACGAAGAUGCCAGGACCCCAGCCUUUGAGAUGCUCAUAGCCGAGUGGGGACACAAGACUUGGAGGAGGCGCUCCUGAGAGUUAGAUGUGAAAAGCAGCACCCUAGAGGCGUCCACCAGAGCUGAGGGCACCGGGAGAGAGAGAGGUGGGUUUUGGUGUAGGGGAUGGGGAGGGAGGAGAGCUGGUGGGGGAGGCACAGAGGCCAGGGGACAGCAAAGGCUGCUCUUGAGAAAUCUCAGUGGAGGGCACUGGGCCAUUCCCAGAGGUUGGCACAGCAAAGCCAAAGGCAUGGUGGCAGGAGAGGAGGCCAUGCUCUGAGGAAGGGCCCGCAGCCCAGCGUCAGGGAGGGUAAUGGGGAGGGGAAGGAGAAUGGUGUUGCCGAGCCUGGGCCAGCCUGCAAAGGCUGGAGGAAGCUACCUUGCUUUAUAAAAAUGGGGAGCCAUCGAAGGCCUUUGAGCAGAGGUGGAUGUCAUCCUAUGGAAGUUUUACAAAGACAGCUCCAUAAGCAGAGAAAUGUCCCAGAAAUGUACACGAAACCUAGAAUGACAGCGUCAGGAUGUACUGCAUGAACUUUUACAAUGCUUCCUUUAAAAAAAAUGGUUUUGUGUUUUUUUGUCUGUGUGUGUGUGUGUGUGUGUGUGUGUGUGUGUGUGUGUGUUUGCCCUGUAUAGGUAUGACUAUUCUAACAAAAGAAGGGAGGACAUUUUCAAAAGACAGAGGGGAGCCAGGAGGCAAAGAGACACAGGCAGCAGGAGGGAGCCCAGAGCUGGCGGGCCAGGCUGCCCCUCUCACUGCAGGUCUGGCUGUUUGGGUGAUGGGCCAUCUGGCAGGUCUACAAGGAGCCCAGCAGGCAGGGCGGUGCGGCCUCUGAGAUCCCUCUCUUACCUAGAGCCUGAGCCUUGCCUGACCCAUGACAGUUUCAGGCUGUUCCCCCUCCUCCCAGCAGUCUGUCCCUACCAAACUCCACUCCAUGGGUUAGACUGUGGGACACAGACUGAUCCUUAAAUCCCAUUCUGGGCCAAAUGGGGACAGUGAUUCCAGAGGCCUCCCUACGUCCGUGAGGACACAUCACCCUAUGACAGAGCCCCAGCCACCGUGCUAGGUGCUGUACAGGCAGUGUCUCUUGAUCUGAAUAUAAACCUGAAAAAAAAAUGUUAUUUUCCCAGUUUUGCAGAUCAGGAAAUAGAGGCCCUCACAGUGAGGAGGGAGGGGGAAUUCUCACCCAGGAUGGACCCACCCAAGAGUGCGGAUGGACCACUAGGCUGUACUGCCUGGGGCCCUUUAGGAGAAAAUCCGUCCUCCCAGUCUCCCCAGGUCUCUUGCCUUUGGCCUGCUCUGGUUCCUGUUAUAGAAUGGGGGCUGCAGGUAGGCACCCCUCUGAGCUAGUCCCCUGUCCUUGGGCCGCCUCUCCUAGGCAAACUCCUAUUUAGCCCGUGAAGCCCAAUUAAAUUAUCGCUUCCUCUCCCGAGUCCUCUGGCUGCACCCCUGUCCUCUUCUCUGUGUUCCUGCGGAGCUCCCAAAGGGAGGGGAGAAAAGGCUCAGGGGACAUGGCUGGGACACAACUUCCAGCCCAGCCCUGCGUGGGCAGAGAGGAGGGAACAGUCCAUCUAUUCUAGGCUGGACGUGAGAGGGAGGACGGCCUUGGCUCAACCCGGGGUAAGGCAGGCUGACCAGCCCCUGGGGUUAUUUGGCUUGGCAGUCAGAGGAGGACAAGUUGCAGGAGAGAGAAUCAAAGAUUCAGGCUGCCUAGUGUGGCCACCGCCCCAUCAGCCCUAAGAUGAUCGCAGCCCCUUUCUGGCCACUGAAUAUGUGGGCACCCCAGACCUCUGUGGCAAGGCUGGGUGAGAGCUGUCUUUUGUGCACAGGUGCCCCUAGUCCCCCACCACUAGUGAGCAUUCACACACAGAGGUGAACAGCCCCCUUGUGGGCCUGGAGGCUCCUAGGCCAGGUAGAGAUGACCAGAGUAGGGAGCAGAGAAUCCCCAGUGCCUAGCACAGUGACUGGCACUGAAGCAUUUGUUGGAUGAAUGAAUGAGUGAUUGCCUGACCUCAGGCCCAGGGAGGAAGGCCUGGUGUGCAGGGCAGCUCCUGGGAGGCUUCAGGGAUGGGGAGAGGACAGAGAGGGACUGGGAGAGCCACAGGAAGGCAGCCUCAUCUGAUGACUGACUUGGGAGGGAAACAGAAUGUGGGCUGUGUUUCUGGGGAAACACCCCCCUGAUGCCCGGGCACCCAGGAACUUCCAGGUACCCCCGGAUCACCCCAGUGAGGACACUCCACAAUUCCCCAGGAGGCAUCACAGUGGGGCCGUUAAACCCAGGGACUUGGGAUUCAGACACUUCUGGGCUCCAGUCCACCCCUCACUGGCUGGACCAGUUGCCUCAGUUUCCCUAUGUGCACGGGGGACGGAUAGGACCACGUGCUGCACAGGUUUGCUGGGAAGGCCAUAUGAGAGGUGCCGGCUCAGCACAUCCUGUCUGCCAUUGUUACAAACAACAGCACGGGAGAGUCGGGGAGCAGAGUCGGCCAAACGCAAGACCCUGGGCUCUGGCUUCCCUGUGCUACUGACCUAUGGGGUGGCUUUGGACAAGGCCCAGCCUUUCUCCAGGCCUUAGUUUCCCCAUUUGUACAGUCAGGCCCUGCUAACUUGGACAGACUUUGGCCCUUCUCCAAGCCCCACAGAGACAUCAGAGACAUGUGCACACACGGCCCUGGGAUUGCCGACAGACACACAGGCACACAUAGGCACGUACACACAGGCAUACAGACACAGGCACAGACUCACACUCGGCCCCUCCCCACUCACACUCGCUCACACUCAUGCUCACACUCACACCAACCCCCCUCCCCCAAAUCUGCUGCGCACCAACGGUUGGUGCGAGCGGGGUUGAGAACGGGAGGAAAAAAGCCCACGACUCAGCCCGGGAAGAGGGGUGCGGUGGGGGAAGGGCGGGCGAGGGAAAUGACAGCCCGCGGUCCCCCUCGAGUCCCGGCUCAUGAAUAUUAAUACGGCGGUAAUUAAAAUGCAGGGACGCAGCAGGAUGGAUGCGGCUGCCUCCGGAGCGCGGGGGAGCGCGGAGUCUUUGCAGGCGGGUGAAGCCCGCUCCUCGCCGGCGAAAAGCGGGGCCGGGCUCCGGGGCCUGGGUCCGGGGCGGGCGGGAGUGGGGACAUUUUUCGUGGUCCCGAGCGUCCCGUCCCGGCGUCCCCGCCCCCGCCCCGCGGCCGCCUCUCCACGCCCUGCCCCGGGCCGCCCGCCAGGCCGCCGUUUCCCGGAGCCGGCCCCCUCCCGCCCUCGCGGCCGGCUGAUGUCAUCUGCACACAACUUUCCGCUUCCCGGCCCGUCUCGGGGCCCUGAGUCAUCGCCGCCCCCGGCCCCGACGCUGGCCUGCGGCGUCUGUUUGUGCAGAGCGAGGCCCCGCCGGCCGGGCUUGACGUCAGGCUGGCAGGGCCUGGAACGGCCCCGCAUCGCGGCCCCCUGGGGGCAGGACGACACCGCUGGGGGCCGAGGGCAGGGCACGCCUUCGGAAUCCGGCUUCGAAGCCGGCCGCCUGACCUGGGGCAAGUGCUUUCAACUCUCUGAACUUCGGUUCCUCAUCUGCCAGUUGGCAGACGCUCAGCAAAUCUUCCUAGACUCACGGGGCGAAUUGUACAGUUGGGUAAAUCGAGGCCCAGAGAUGGCAAAAGGACCGUCCAAGGUCGUACAGCCACCCGGAAUUACAAUUCUUUUCUGCCGGGUCACACGCUGUCAUCCACGUGUUACCUAAGAGAGCUUUCCAGCCUGUGCUAAGAAAACUGCCCCACAUCAUCUGCAGUAGGACGGGGGAGUUGGAGCCCUGGUCAGGCCACUCUGCUACUGACCACAGUUUUCUCAUCUCUAAAAAGGCGCAGUAACAAUAUAAUUACCGUAUGCAGUCCCCCAGGAUACAGGGUCAAAGGAGAGCACAACCAUCGCAGUUGGAAGCCCAUGGGGCAGGUGAGUCACUGUUGUCACUACUGGGGUCAAUUUUUUUUUUUUUCUUUUUGAGACGGAGUCUCGCUCUUUCCCCAGGCUGGAGUGCAGUGGCGCGAUCUCGGCUCACUGCAAGCUCCGCCUACCGGGUUCACGCCAUUCUCCUGCCUCAGCCUCCCGAGUAGCUGGGACUACAGGCACCCGCAGCCACACCCGGCUAAUUAUUUGUAUUUUUAGUAGGGACGGGGUUUCACCGUGUUAGCCAGAAUGGUCUCAUCUCCUGACCUCAUGAUCCACCCGUCUCGGCCUCCCAAAGUGCUGGGAUUACAGGCGUGAGCCACCGCGCCUGGGGUCACUAUUGAAGUUGGCUAAUGUCACUAUUGAAGUCAAGUGAGAGAGAGGGCCCUCUUGGAGUCAGACCACCUAGGUUCAAAUUCUGGAUCCUGCUUCCGGCUCCUUUCCUCUGUCCCCCUUCUCCCCUCGGUGCCCUCCAACCAGUGGGCCUGGGAAAGCGUGUUCAUGCUGGAAAUGCCUGCCCAGCCCUUGCCCAGUCACACAGAGCAAGUGCCCCAGAAAUGUCCUGAACCUCAGUUUACUGAGGGGAAACUAAGAACCUUCUGGCUACAGCUCUUGGGCUGAGCAGGGAUUAGGCUCGGGUCUGCGAUCCCAGGCCCUGCGGCCUCCCAGAGGCUUGGUUGAGAGCUCUGGCUCUCACUCCCCCACCUCCACCCAGCACCUGCCCCGGUCCAGGCUCACCCCCUACCCCUCCACCUGGUCAGUGGUGGCUCGGCCUCCUCUCAGCCCCUCCACCCCUCCUGGCUGUACACACCCUCAAGCUAACGGAAUUCAAACUGGUGGAGGAAGGCCUGCCCUGUCCCUCCCAGCCCCUGCCUCUCCCUCCCUACUCCCAGCCUCACUGGACCACUUUCAAGUCCUCCAGUGCUCCAGGCUCCAUCUUCAUGCCUCCAGGCCUUUGCACGUGCUGGUCCCUCUCCCAUUCUCCUGGUUAACUCCUCCACCUCCAUCCGAGCUAGGAUCUUCCCCUGGAGAGUGUCCCGGUUAGCACUACCCCACAACACACACACACACCGACAUACACGCCCCACAUCACAGGGACCACAUCCCACACAGGCACAGACACACUGCAUGACGCAGAUCACAGGCACAAAGGUGCAUGCGUGCACACAUACACACUCCCACUCCAUAUGCCAAUACACUUAUCCCCCUACUCCCACAUCACACAGACGGUUCCACACACUCCUCACACGCUCUGGCCACACAGUAAACACACACAGACCACAGAGCUCAUGUCUGGGCUGCCCUGGUGCCCUCCUCUGGGCUCGUGCCCCCAGCCUCAGCAUUUACCCCCCAUUGAGGGCAGGGACCCACCCAGCUCCGUUUUCCUCCAUUUCAGCUCAGGGCCCUGCACCAAGUCUCUCCCAGUUGUUGCUUGGACCCGGACUCCUCCCACAGUCACCACUGUCACAGUCCCACCUCCUUCAAGGUCUCAAACACCCCUCCCCUGUUUCUGGCAGGAGCCGUCCUCACUCCCUCUAUUGCCUCUCCAGACCCAGACUUCACCCUCAGGUCACCCUCACCUGGACUUUGGGGUGCCCCACACCCCGCCCCAGGCCCUGGCCUCUGGAAUAUUUGGAAACUUGAACUGGGCCAGAGGCUUAAGCUCACAUCUGUCUGGAGCCUCAACUUUCUCCUCUGUAAAAUGGGCUAACACUGAAAGAACCUUGCAGAAUCUCAGCAACGUCACAGAGGACAUUGUUAGCACAGCCAGCGGGCUCCUGCUGGGCUGAGUUUGUGGGUAAUCCAAGCCUCGGCAGGUACAGUUCCUCCCUCAGGUGAGUGUUCCACCCCCAAGUGAGCAUCCUGCUGCCCUUCCUGCAAAUCAGGCCCCUGGGACACUUAGUGCUGAGCCUUGGGGGUGGGGUAUUUGAUCGGGGUUCCUGACAAGUGGCUGGGUUGUCUGUUCCCUCUCUUCAGAGGGAGCCUCCAUGGGUGGCCUGGGCUCACAUCGGCUCCUCCAGUCCAGCAGAGCACCCCCCCCUGGCUGCCCAGCUUGUUGAGAGAACUUGCUGAGCAGGACAGUGAGCCCUUCCUGGUGGGGAACCGGAAUCAGGAGAAGACAGAGGGGAGGUGGCAGGCCCCAGGAUGGAGGGAGGGCAGCUGAGCUGCCUGCCCUCAUCCUCCCUGCCCUUCAGGUAUUAGGGCCCUUCCCAUGGCCCAGUAGGAACCCAGCGGCUCACCUGAGCCCGGACUAAGGAUGGGGCAUUUUACCCCAUAUGCAGAGAUGAGAAACAGAGGCCCAAGGAGGGAAGGGACUGAACACAGGGUGGAACAGCCCUGGGCUGCGCCUGUGUUUCCAUCCGCCUUCCUCCUGCCUGUGCUCGAGUCACGUGCUGGUGUGCAGGGAACAGGAAGACAGCCGCUGCCCUCACAGGCUCAGGGUCUAGCAGAGUCCACAGUGACCACAGGCGAAUAAACAAAGGCAGUGAGACAGAGGUGGGCAAGGAGAGGUGCUGGGAUGGGGAGCAAGGGGGUACCCAUGCUCAUGGGUAUGAACACAUGGACCCAUAUACCCAUAUGUAUGUCCCAGAGUUUCUUCCAGAACUUUUUUUUUUUUCCCAAGACAGAGUCUUGUUCUGUAGCCCAAGCUGGAGUGCAGUGGCACGAUCUCGGCUCAUUGCAACCUCCACCUCCUGGGUUCAAGCGAUUCUCCUGCCUAAGCCUCCCGAGUAGCUGGGAUUACAGACGCCCUCCACCAUGCCCGGCUAAUUUUUGUAUUUUUAGUAGAGACAGGGUUUCACCAUGUUGGCCAGGCUGGUGUCGAACUCCCGACCUCAGGUGAUCCGCCCGCCUCGGCCUCCCACAGUGCUGAGAUUACAGGGGUGAGCCACUGCACCUGACCCCUUCUAGAACUUCUCUAUCAGUUCACUCUCACAUCUACACUGAACACCUUUGCCCAAGGCUGGGGGCAGAGUGGUUAAAAGCCAAAUCUAGACUCCUUCUUGCUGUGUGACCUCGGCCAGGUCACUGUCCCCCACUGUGCCUCCCCAUCAUGUCCUCCUCUAAAAAAUGGAUGCAUAGCCCUCAGGGCUGUUGUUGAAGGGUCCCUGAGAUGACUGUGGAGCUCUUGGUGUGGGGACCCAAGCUCAACCCUGCCCCAAGUACUGUCCCCCAGCCCAACUGCAGUACUUGGCCCCCCUCAACUUCUAGCCUCCAGUCUCUGCCUGAACCCCAGCACCUGGCAGUUCAGCUCAGUUCAUUUACGUAGCCCAGCCUGGGUUCCUGUGAGAUGAAGGCCGGUCACAAUGACAAGACUGCUGGGGACGAUUGGGUCCCUGGCCAGGUACUCAGGUCUACAGCCUAACACACGGUGAGCUGUUUCCCAGCCACCCAACUCUUGGGCAUCCCUGCAGGACCUCCACGGGGAGUCCUUGGCUCCCUGAAGGAUGGAUCAUCAGAGGAGCUGCCAGGCUGCCAGAGCUGGAAGGGACCUCAGGGAUCACCACUGUGGCCAACCCUCCACUGCACACACAGAAAAGCUGCAGCUCAGAGCUGGGCGUGGUGGCUCACACCUGUAAUCCCAGCACUUUGGGAGGCCAAGGCAGGCAGAUCACCUGAGGUUGGGAGUUCGAGACCAGCCUGGCCAACAUGGAGAAACCUUGUCUCUGCUAAAAAAUACAAAAUUAGCCAGGCGUGUUGGUGCAUGCCUGUAAUCCCAGCUACUCAGGAGGCUGAGGCAGGAGAAUCGCUUGAACCCGGGAGGCAGAGGUUGCGGUGAGCCGAGAUCACACUAUUGCACUCCAGCCUUGGCAAAAAGAGCGAAACUCCAUCCCAAAAAAAAAAAAAAAACAAAGCUGCAGCUCAGAGAAGUGGAGACACUGGCCCAGGGACCCACAGCAAGGCCUUGGCCCAGCUGGGGCUAGAUGGCAAGAGGUGGUUCAGCAUUGGAGCUCCAUUGCCUGGGUUCAAAUCGGGGUCUGUCACUGGCCAGCUGUGAGCCUAAGUCUCUGAACUUCUCUGUGCCUUAGUGUCCUCAUUCUGUAGAGUGGAGAUAGUAAUCAUUCCUAUUUCAAAGAUUGUUGUGAGAAAUAAGUGAACUAAUACAUGUCAUAUGCUUAAAAGCAGGGCCCAGGACACAGUGAGCAUACAAUAGACAUUAGCUGCUGUGGUGUCUUGAUUUCAAGCCCAGUGCAGAUGCAUCUGACUUACGAAACUUCAGUGACACCUGCUCUGUGCCAGACACUGAAGAUGGAGCAGUGAACAGCACUGACCCAGCCUGUCCUCCUGUUGCCUGCAGGCCAGACGGAGUCUCACUCUGUCACCAGGCUGGAGUACAGUGGUGUGAUCUCGGCUCACUGCAACCUCCGCCUCCCAGGUUCAAGCGAUUCUCCUGCCUCAGCCUCUCAAGUAGCUGAGAUUACAGACGUGUGUCACCAUGCCCUGUUAAUUUUUGUUUGUUUGUUUUGUUUUUUGUUUUGUUUUGUUUCGUUUUUUGUUUUUUUUUUUUGAGACGGAGUCUUGCUCUGUCGCCCAGGCUGGAGUGCAGUGGCCCCGAUCUCGGCUCACCGCAAGCUCCGCCUCGCGGGUUCAUGCCAUUCUCCGGCCUCAGCCUCCCGAGUAGCUGGGACUACAGGCAUCCGCCACCACACCCAGCUAAUUUUUUGUAUUUUUUUUAGUAGAGACGGGGUUUCACUGUGUUAGCCAGGAUGGUCUCGAUCCCCUGACCUUGUGAUCCACCCAAGGCCUCGGCCUCCCAAAGUGCUGGGAUUACAGGCAUGAGCCACCGUGCCCGGUCAAUUUUUAUAUUUUUUGUAGAGACAGGGUUUCACCAUGUUGGCCAGGCUGGUGUCGAACUCCCGACCUCAGGUGAUUGUCGGCCUUGGCCUCCCAAAGUGCUGGGAUUACAGGCGUGAGCCACCGCGCCCAGCCGGUGGGCAGCCAGUUGUGUUCCGGGAGGAGGAGGACACCCUGGAAAGACAGUGGGGCCAGACACUGAACUGCCUUUGGAAGCAAGUAGGAGCAACAGCGAAGGUUUGCUGGCUCAGGUAGGAGGAUUAAUUGGAACGAUUAAGCUGGAAGCUCUGUAAGACGGAUUAGAGGGGCAAACUUGGAGGCAGGAAGGCUGGGAGGAGACCACUGCUGAGUGAUUUUUCUUCCCCCACAGGUUCCCAGUCCCUGAUUUCUGGCCACUCCGCCUUUCUGUGAGUCAUUUUGUUUUUGUUUUUCAGAAGCAAGGUCUCGCUGUGUUACCCUGGCUGGAGUGCAGUGGCUACUUACAGGCAUGAUCAUAGCAUACUGCAGCCUCGAACUCCUGGACUAGAGCAGUUCUCCUGCCUCAGCCUCCAGAGCAGCUGGGACUGCAGACACGCACCACAGAGCCCAGCCUGAGUCAUUUUGAUUCUGUAACUGGCUUCCUCUCGGCGGGCAGGCUCACACCCUCCACCCCCAGCUGGAGAUGGAAGGAGGAUGCUCACCGCCCAUUCCUCAUGCAGGCCAUCGAUGGAAAUGUCAGACAGUGCGAGUCCACGCCUGAACACUUCUGGGGUCCGCUCUGGGACUGACACUGGCAGAUCCAUCGGUGAGCUCCCGCCUGCCACCUCUGGGCCUGCAUUGCGGUGAUAGGGCCAAGGGCCUGGGCCUUCAAUUCUCCAGACUUGCCAAAAUGCUCAGCGCAGGCCUCGUCGGCAACUGCAGACAAGCAGAGGCAGCACCUGGGCUCUGCCUGUGCCUGGCACAGUGAAGCGAGGGUGGGGGCAGGAAUGAGGGUCCUCUCCAUGCAAGGGGGGAAGAUAGAAGAACAAAAUUUCACCCUAAUGUAGUGUCUUUAGACCGUGCAAUGUUGUGCUCCUGUUAGUCUGAUAUCAGGGGCUUGCAGCCUGGCAAAGGAAAAAAAACAGGCUGAGGCACAUGAUAGAAGACAGGCAGGGAUGCCACAAUCAUAACCAUGGCAAAGACCAGGAUCAGAAAGGCCCACCAUCUCUGACCCCAAAUCCCUGGGCAGAUGGUUCCAGAACUCAGAAUUUUCCCAGUUGUAGAAAGAUGGGGCCAGGUGCAGUGGCUCACGCCUGUAAUCCCAGCAUUUUGGGAGUACAAGGUGGGCGGAUCACCUGAGGUCAGGAGUUCGAGACCAGCCUGGCCAACAUGGUGAAACCCUGUCUCUACUAAAAAAAAAAAAAAAAAUUAGCCGGGCGUGGCGAUGCAUGCCUGUAAUCCCAGCUACUCGGGAGGCUGAGCCAGGAGAAUUGCUUGAACCCGGGAGGCGGAGGUUGCAGUGAGCCAAGAUCGCGCCACUACACUCCAGUCCGGGCGACAGAGCAAGAGUCCAUUCCCCCACCACCAAAAAAAAAAAAAAAAGAAAGAAAGAUGAUGUGAUACAUAUCACAUAUUUCCUAACACCCCCAACCAAACACAUUUAUGCAUAUGCAUAAAGCAGACGAGGAAAGAUUCUAAAUAGGCUCUGAAUCUCAGUUUUCUCAUCUCUACAAUGGGGCAGUGAUGGCAUGCACCUCCCAGGGCUGUUCUGAGAAUCUGAUGCCUCCCAUUGCACUGGUGAGCCUGGCACAGGCACAGGUCCCACCCCAGGCCCUUUGAACUGGCUGUUCCUUUGGCCUGGAACAUUCCUCCCCAGAUACCUCCUGAGAGGGCUCCCUCACUUCCUUCAAGGCACUGCUCAAAUGCUACCUCUUCACAGAGGCUUUCCCUGACCACCCCGUCUCUUUCCUCUUCCUGCAUAGCCUCUGUCACCUGACAUUUUAUGUCAUAAAUUACUCAUUUAUUAAUUUCCUGCUCUCCCACAGUGGCACCCGAGCUCUGUGAGGGCAAGACUUUGUUCGGUUGUGGGCUAUGCCCCCAACCCCUCGGACAGUGCCUGCACAGGUGGACAUUUUUGUUGGAUGAAGGAUUUUCUGUUAAAUGUGUCUGGCACACACAGAAAAACAAAGCCCAGCAGGUACGAUGGUGAUUAUUAUUGUUACUGGUGGCGCUCUAUUAUUGUUAUUAGUGUCUGUUGAAAAAGACCCUGAGCUAUACCAGCCCUUGGUUCUCCAGCCUGUGAAAUGGGCAUCCUGGGCACUGAGGCACUAGCCUUGGGAAGCUGAUAGGGGGUCCCUGCAGGAGAGACAAAGAACACUGCCCACCCCCCCGGGGGAGCCUGCGCCCCUCACCGGAAAGAGAAGCAGGGGGGAGCAGAGGGAGCUUGCAGCCCCACACGCAGGGCUGCCAGAAGGCCAUACAUAAUUCAUUGCCAAAUGGGGCUGCGGGCGGCUCUCCGCGGCGUGCGCUGGGGGCUCACUCUGCGCCUGGCACUUCGCUGACUGCGCCUCACACGUUGCCUCAUUGCAUCUUCAUGGAUUUGCAGGGUGUGACCCUUCCCCCUGUUUUACCCAGGGGGAUCCUGAGGCUCAGAGGAUGGGGCCACCGUGCUAGUCACACAGCCUCUCUGUGGCCAAGCUGGGCCUCGGGCCAGCAGAUUCGGCCCCCAGCGGCCCCCAUUCACUGCCUCUCUGCUGAGGGAAAAGACGGGCCUGGGGAGCGGGUGGGAGGCACAAAGGAGACCCCGCUCUGAGACAGGCUGCAGAAGAGGGAGCUGGGUCUCAGCAGGGCUGGGGAAGGCUCUGGCCCCAGCCCUCCGCCCAACCCCCUGCCCUCCUCUCCUGGAGGAGAUGCUCCCCAAAUUAGCCAUCAUGAGCGCUGGCUCUGGGGGUUGGGCGUUGGGGAGCAGUUUGCUCAGCUGUAAAAUGGGAAUAACAGAAGCCGUCCCUGGGACUAUGAGAUCAAGGUGCUCAAGAAAAGUGGUGUCUGCUGAGGGGAAAAGCCAGUCCCAAAAGGUUGCAUACUCUCAUUCUGUUUAUUUGUUUUUGUUUUUGAGACAGGGUCUCGCCCUGUCACCCAGGCUGGAGUACAGUGGCGCAAUAUGGGCUCACUGCAACCUCCACCUCCUGGGCUCAAGUGAUCCUCCCAUCUCAGACCCUCAAGGAGCUGGGGCUACAGGCACGUGCCACCGUGUCCGGCUAAUUUUUGUAUUUUUUGUAGAGACAGGGUUUCACCAUGUUGCCCAGGCUGGUCUCAAACUCCUGAGCUCAGGUGAUCCGCCUGCCUUGGCCUGCGAUAAAAUUGCACAGAAGUAAAUACACACACGUGAGGAUACGGAAAACCGGGGAAACCUGAGCAAGAGCAGUCAGACCCCGGCUGUGAUGGCGCCCAGUAGUUCUGCGAGAUGUUACCAUUGGGGAAACUGAGUGAAGGCGGGUACCUGGGAUCCCUCUGUUUUCUUUUUUGUUGUUGUUGUUAUUUUGAGAUGAAGUUUCCCUCUUGUUGCCCAGGCUGGGUGAUCCACCUGCCUCGGCCUCCCAAAGUGCUGGGAUUACACGCGUGAGCCACUGUGCCCAGCCUCUCUGUUUUAUUUCUUCUUUUUUUUUUUUUUUUUUUGGAGACGCUCUGUCGCCCAGGCUGGAGUGCAGUGGCACGAUAUUGGCUCACUGCAAGCUCCGCCUCCUGGGUUCACACCAUUCUCCUGCCUCAGCCUCCCGAGUAGCUGGGACUACAGGCGCCCGCCACCUCGCCCGUCUAAUUUUUUGUAUUUUUAGUAGAGGCGGGGCUUCACCGUGUUAGCCAGGAUGGUCUCAAUCUCCUGACCUCGUCAUCCGCCCGUCUCGGCCUCCCAUAGUGCUGGGAUUACAGGCAUGAGCCACCACGCCCGGCUGUUUUAUUUCUUAUAACUGUACAGGAAUCUACAAUGAUUGUAACAAAAAUUUCAAUUAAGGCCACUCUAGGCACAUGGCCUGUGGGGUAGCCCUGCUCAACAAGAAGCCGUCAAAAAAAUGUUUUUUAAUUAAAAAAUUUCUUCAAUUAAAAAGCGUUAUCUUCCUCUGCCCGGAAAGGGUUAAGUGAGUCACUGCAGUUAGCUCCCCUUCCCCCACAACCACCUAGACCAGGCCAGGGACCAGCGGGCAAUUGCCUGGCAGCUGGAGUUUUCCUCCACUGUGGACUGUACUUCUUGCGUCACUCUGAAUGUCUCCAGUCUUUAUUCCAGAAUGUUCUGGUCCUCUCCCACUUUUCCAAGGACAGGAAUUCCCUAGUGGGGCUCCAGAAGAGGCUCUGGAGGAGAACAAGAAAGGCCCUUGUCAUCCAUUGGCCUCAGGCUGGGAAAUCUCGGUUCCACUCCCAGCCCAGCCUCAAUAUUAGGUUGUCAGUCUGGAGUCUGAGAGCCAUGCCCCCACCCCCUUAGUCCUUCACCUCCAGGAGAGUUGGGGAUACUGGAAAGAAUGUUGAGUGUCAGAGCCCCUCUCAGUGGCUCACGCCUGAAAUCCCAGCCCUUUGGGAGGCUGAGGCAGGUGGAUUGCUUGAGGCCAAGAGUUCAAGACCAGCCUGGCCAACGCGACGAAACCCUGACUCUACUAAAAAUACAAAAAUUAGCUGGGCGUGGUGGCACACACCUGUAAUCCCAGCAGCUCGGGAGGCUGAGGCAGGAGAAUUGUUUGAACCUGAGAGGUGGAGGUUGCAGUGAGCUGAGAUCACAACACUGCACUCAAAAAGUAGUUAAUUAAUUUAGUUUAAUUAAAAAAGAAUAUUGAGUGUCAGGCAAUCUGGGUAGAACCCAUUGUGUUUCUACAGGAUAGAAUCUGCUGUGUUCUCUAGCGGAACUUCCGGAUCACCUUCACCGUAUGACUCUAGACAAUCCCUGUCCACUCUUCAGUUUUAGAUGCCCCAUUCAAAGAAUGAAAGAAUUGUCCUAGAUGAUCCUUUAGGGUCUUCCAGGCUGAUGACAAGGGGGACCUGGCCCCUCUGCUGCUGGCCAAAGAGGACUUUACUUCCCAUUCCGUGUGGUUGAACAAGAAUUGCUGGGCUCCAGUCCUGCCUUUGGCCCUUCCCUACAUGUGACCUUGGGCCCUCUUUGCCUUUCAGAAUCAAUACAGUGAGAGAGUUAACACAAGCUCAGGUUAGUAAGUCAUUCAACAAACAUUUACUGAGCGCUUAUCAAAUACUGCAUGCUGGAGUGGACACUGGAGAAAAAGGUGAGGAGAAGGCCGGGCGCAGUGGCUCGUGACUGUAAUUCCAGCACUUUGAGGGGCAGAGGCAGGUGGAUUACCUGAGGUCAGGAGUUUGAGACCAGCCUGGCCAACAUGGCAAAACCCCGUCUCUACUAAAAAUACAAAUAUUAGCCAGGCAUGGUGGUGCAUAUCUGUAGUCCCAGCUACUCAGGAGGCUGAGCAGGAGAAUCACUUGAACUCAGGAGGUGGAGCGUGCAGUGGGCCGAGAUUGCACCUCUGCACUCCAGCCUGGGCAACAUAGUGAGACUCUGUCUCAAAUAAAUAAAUAAAGUGAGGAGAAAAAAAUACCAUCUCUGUCUUCACAGAACUUAUAGUUUGAGAGGGGAGAAUCCCACAAGUAAAUUAUAAAUCUCAGCUGAGAUUAUGCAAAGAAGCAAAGGCCGGACGUGGUGGCUCACGCCUGUAAUCCCAGCACUUUGGGAGGCCGAGACGGGCGGAUCAUGAGGUCAGGAGAUUGAGACCAUCCUGGCUAACACGGUGAAACCCUGUCUCUACUAAAAAUACAAAAAAAUUAGCUGGGCGUGGUGGCGGGCGUCUGUAGUUCCAGCUACUCGGGAGGCUGAGGCAGGAGGAUGGCGUGAACCCAGGAGCACAGGUUGCAGUGAGCCGAGAUGGCGCCACUGCACUCCAGCCUGGGCGACAGAGCGAGACUCUGUCUCAAAAAAAAAAAAAAAAAAGGAAGCAAAGUGCCCAGCUGGGAUGGUGGUUUCAGAGGCCACAGUGGGAGCUUCCCAGAGAAGGGAUGAUUGAGCUAAGUCUAAGCAAAAGGGGUGGUCAGGGCAGCAGCUGCUCCAAAACAGGGGCUGGGGGCUUAUGUGGAGAGAGAAGACAUGGAGAGACCAUGCCCAGAAGGAGGCGGCGGCUUCAGUGAACAGUGCAGGGGAGCAGGUCCGAGGAGGCCGCCUACCAGGGGAAGGAGUCUCAUCUCCAUCCUAGACAAAAAAAGGAUCUUUUGAGAUGCAUUAAGCAGGGGAGUCACAGAUUGGAUUUGUGUUUUGAGAAUCUCCUGCUUACCUAGAGAAGAAGGGCAUCUCCUGGGCCCUCACUGUUGCCUUAAAUGAUUUUUAUUGUGUAUUACUUAAACAUGUGCAAGCAUAAAAUGAGAUAUAAACUCCUUGUAGCUCUUAUACAAGCAUCAGACCAAGACAAAUUGACCCAUCACGUACAAAAUCGAUUCAAAUCAGAUUAAUUUUAUGUGACAUGUUAUUAUGCCUUUUGUCUGAAACCCUGCCACCACCCACAGUGCAAUUAUGGCCCAACCACUGUGGUGUUCUGAAUUUGUGGGACAGAGAAUAUUGGCCUUUUAAACACGUGCAUGCAUGCAUUUGCGUGUGCGCACACACACACAUCCCAAAUGAUUUUUUCCCACUAUAUAUGAAGAACUCCUACAAACCAAAAAGAAAAAGGCAGACAAUUCAAGAGAAAAAUGGGGGAGGGCUUGCAUUAAAGUACUUCAUAACAAGAGUACUUAGGAGGCCAACAAAUACACGAAAAGCUGCUAGCUUCAUGACUCAUGGGGGUGGCUUGGUCAGUUCAGGAUACUGUAACAAAAUACCUUAGACUGGGAAAUUUAUAAACAACGGAAUUUAUUGCUCACAGUUCUGGAGGCUGGGAAGUCCAAGAUCAAGGCAGCAGUAGAUCCGGUGCCUGAGCCCGUUCCCUGCUUCAAACAUGGCACCUUCUUGCUGUAUCCUCACAUGGUGGAAGGGGGAAGACAGUUCUCUGGGGCCUCUUUUAUAAGGGCAGUUAUCCAAUUCACAAGGAUAGAGCCCUCAUGACCUAAUCACCUUUCAAAGAUCCCCAUCUUCUAACACCUUCUAACACCAUCACCUUGGUGAUUAGGUCUUUUUGUUGUUGUUGUUGUUGAGAUGGACUCUCACUCUGUUGCCUAGGCUGGAGUGCAGUGGCGUAAUCUUGGUUCACUGCAACCUCUGCCUCCCGGGCUGAAGUGAUUAUCCUGUCUCAGCCUCCCAAGUGGCUGGGAUUACAGGCGUGUGCCACCAUGCCCGGCUAAUUUUCAUAUUUUUAGUAGAGACAGGGUUUCACCAUGUUGGUCAGGCUGGUCUCGAACUCCUGACCUCAUGAUCCGCCCACUUCGUCCUCCCAAAAUGCUGGGAUUACAGGCAUGAGCCACUGCACCCAGCCGAUUAAGUCUUAACGUAUGAGUUUUUGGGAGAAACUCAAACAUUCGGACAAUAGCAAGGAGAAUACAAAACCACAGUGAGCUACCGCUUCAGACACCAGAGAAGUUUAAGUGAAAAAGACUGGCAAUACCAAGUGCUGAUGAGGAUAUGGAGCAACCAGAACUCUCAGACAUUGCUGAUGGGAAUCUAAAUUAGUAUAACCACCACGAAAGCAUCCGUAAGGUUUAAUUGUGUUGAACACACCCUGCCCUCUGACCAAGCAUUUCCACUCCUGGGCAUACAGGCAAAAGAAAUGCAUCCACGUGUUCAUCAAAAGAUGUAACCUGUGCCAGGUGAGGUGGUUCAUGCCUGUAAUCCCAGCACAUCGGGAGGCCAAGGAGGGAGGAUUGCUUGAGCCCAGAAGUUCGAGAGCAGCCUAGGCAACAAGGCAAAACCUCGUCUCUACUAAAAAGUAGCCAGGCAUGAUGGUAUAUGCCUGUAGUCCCAGCUACUCAGGAGGCCAAGGCAUGCAGAUUGAUUGAACCCGGAAGGUGGAGGCUACAGUGAAUUGUGAUCUCGCCACUGCACUCCAGCCUGGGUGACAGAGCAAGAUCUUGUCUCAAUUAAAAAAAAAGGAAGAAAGAAAGACAUAACCUGGAAUAUUCACACCAACACUAUUCAGGAUAGCCCUAAACUGGAAAGAAUCUGAAUAUCCUCCGGCUUUAGAACAGAGAGAAAUUAUAGACUAUUCAUUCAUACAGGGGAUGAUUGAUCAGCUUUAAGAAUAAACAAACCGUACACAACAAUAUAGAUGAAUCUACAACCUUAAUGUGCAAAAUAGUUCACAUAUAUAAAGGACAAAAACAGGCAAAACUACUCCAUGGUGUUAGAAAUAGGGGUAGAGGUUACCCUCAUGCGGCAGGAGGGUUAGUGAUAGGGGAUUUGGAAGAGGAGGAGCCCAAUGGACUGAACAGCUGAGCUGGAAACAGCAAUUUGUUCCUUAAAGUUCUGAACCCAACUGUUAUCCAGCAUGGAGUCUGUCUGGAGAGGCCAGAUGUGGGGCCUCUCACAGGGGAAUGAGAAGUGCCUCUCAGGGUCCCACCCAUGAUCCCCCUUUCCUUGCCCACACAACCACCAACUGGCAAGUAGUAACCCAGGACCUGUAGCCCCCACUGGCUUGACACAGAGCAUAAUGCAAGCUUUUCCUGCUCCAGGUCCUGGACACCACUUUGCCCUUUGCCCCACACGUACAGCCCCCUGACCAAAAGCUGGGUACUCUGGCUUGACUAGAGGGAGCUAGACUCCAGGAAUAAGUAAGGAGCUGGGCUUCCACGCUAGAGAACAAGAGCUUCUCUGGGGAAAGGGGCUUCCCAUGAAGCCCUGGGGCACUGGGAGAUUAAUGGGCAGACCUCUGGCCUCAGCUUCCAGGGAAGGGGAGGGUGUGGGCCAACAUGCGGUGGCUACACUGACCACAAGCCGAUGACCCCAGCCAGCCUCAGGAUGUCUCAGCUCUAGGCAUGGUUUUUCGUUUUGUUUUGUCGUGUUUUGUUUUUGAGAUGGAACCUCGCUCUGUCGCCUAGGCUGGAGUGAAGUGGCACCAUCUCGUCUCCCUGCAACCUCCACCUCCUGGGUUCAAGCGAUUCUCCUGCCUCAGCCUCCUGAGUAGCUGAGAUUACAUGUGCGUGCCACCUUGCCCAGCUAAUUUUUGUAUUUUUAGUAGAGAUAGGGUUUCAUCAUGUUAGCUAGGCUGGUCUCAAACUCCUGACCUCAAGUGAUCUGCCUGCCUCAGCCUCCCAAAGUGCAAGGAUUACAGGCAUGAGCCACCAUGCCCGGCAUAGGCAUGGUUUUGACAAUCUGUCUCUUUGUGCCCUGGCUCCUUCUCCAACUCCUCUUUGGAGGAGGCACAGGAGGAGGGGUCAUUUCACUGUUCCUGAAAAGUAGACAUAUAACCUACAUGCAACUGCCAGGUGAUAAGGGCCCCAUCUGUCUGGCAUGACGUUGGAGGUCCACAAAGGCUGAUUAGAUGAAUGCUCAGCUCUGGGGCCUCCCCACAGAGCUCACAGACAGGCGUGAAGGAAAGCAGGACUCUUAUUAGAAUAUGUUCAGAGUUUUCACUGAAGAAGCCUCCUGUGUGGGCCAGGCACUGUGCUCAGUGCUUUGAUUCACAGUCUCAUUUAAUUCUCACCAUUUACAGACAAGAAUUCAGCUAAGAUCCUUUUCAAUCAAGUCUGGCAAUAUCUGCCUUUCAAUGGCAGUGCCUAGUCCUUUCAUAUGUAAUAUACUUAUCAUUAUGGGUGGGUUUAAGUUUUAUCAUCUUGCUAUUUGUUAUCUAUUUGUCCCCCCUCUUUUGUUCCUCCUUUACUGCCUUCUAUUUGGUUGAGACUUAAUAAAAUAUUUUAUUCCAUCUUCUCUACUUACUUUUUAGCUAUGCCUCCUUAUAUUUUUGGUUGCUGGAGUGUUACAAUAUGCAUUCUUCAAUAUCCAGUCUACUUUCCAAUAAUAUUACACCACUUCAUGUAUAACGUAAGAACGUUACAAAAAUAUAAUGCCAGGGCUGGGCGCAGUGGCUCACGCCUGUAAUCCCAGCACUUUGGGAGGUCGAGGCGGGCAGCUCACCUGAGGUCAGGAGUUCGAGACCAGCCUGACCAACAUGGAGGAACCCCAUCUCUACUAAAAAUACAAAAUUAGCCGGGCAUGGUGGCUCAUGCCUGUAAUCCCAGCUACUCAGGAGGCUGAGGCAGGAGAGUUGCUUGAACCGGGGAGGUGGAAGUUGCAAUGAGCCAAGAUUGCGCCGUUGCAC